AUGAGUUAUGACUAUAUAAUUUUAGUUUAAAUUACUAAUAACUAUUUGUAAAAUCUGAUAAAUAAUUGAAAUGAUCAUUCCAACAACAAUGUGUCAAUGUCAAUACUUACUCCAUUUUCUGAAAAGGAAGACUAGUUGUGGAUAUAGAUGCCAGGCAGAAUACAUUGUAUAAGCUAUAAAGUUGUGGCGUGGCAAUAAAUCCACAGAAUUGGGGCUGGAAAGUAUAUAAUGGUAAACUAAAUCCAGUUUUCACGAAAAAGUCACCAGCACCGGAUACUCUUUUGAAUGUGAUUAGUUGUGCUUGCACAAAAACAUGUGAACAAAAUUGUAGCUGUCGAAAAGCAAGAUUGCUAUGUUCAGUUACAUGCAAGCAUUGUCAAGGUGGUUCGUGUUUAAAUCAGCAACCGAUCAUAGAUGAUAAAGAAGAAGACAAUUUAGAGGACUAUAUUGACGAAAUAAAUCUAAUUGAAAAUCAAAAAGAAGAAACCAACACACGGACAAUAAAAAAAUUCGACCCACAUAAUUUAAUUAAUAAGGACCUACAUCCCCAUUACACCAUUCCAGGACCUACACCAUUUUUUAAAUUUAAUUUCGUAACUUAUAGUCUGAA